rnacentral:rRNA from 1 species
AUUGAACGCUGGCGGCAUGCCUUACACAUGCAAGUCGAACGGUAACAGGUCUUCGGAUGCUGACGAGUGGCGAACGGGUGAGUAACACGUGGGUGACGUACCCUUCAGACCGGGAUAGCCUUUAGAAAUAGAGGAUAAUACCGGGUACGGUCGCAUAUGUCAGAGGUAUGCGAGGAAAGGAGCUCCGGCUCCGCUGAAGGAACGGCCUGCGGCCAAUCAGCUAGUUGGCGGGGUAACGGCCCACCAAGGCAGCAAAGGGUAUCCGGCCUAAGAGGGCGAACGGACACAUUGGGACUGAGAUACGGCCCAGACUCCUACGGGAGGCAGCAGGUAAGAAUGUUCCGCAAUGGGCGAAAGCCUGACGGAGCGACGCCGCGUGGAUGAUGAAGGCCGGAAGGUUGUAAAAUCCUUUUAUGACCGACGAAUAAGCAUGCGAGGAAAUGAGCAUGCGGUGACGGUAGGUCAUGAAUAAGCACCGGCUAAUUACGUGCCAGCAGCCGCGGUAA